GGGGGAUCCAAGUGACGGUGGCAUAUGCUGGGACUGUGUACGUACUCCCCAAGAUGCUUCUGGUAGGGUGAAUCACAGGAGAAAAGAGGGGAACAGGAGAUUUGGAGGUGGCUGUUGCCCUGGGUCUCCGGCCGGCAGCCAUGGUUGGGUUCUUCCAUGCUUGUGGCCUCUUCCUCCUCCACCAGCAGCAGAGUCACCAGGAUGAGUGUGCCUGCACAUGCCAAGUGGAACCUCCUUUCUGUCUGGGCAGAUACUGUCUACAGCCACGUAAGAGAUGAUGCCCCAAGCCAGCACUGGUUGAGCCUGCCCCUCUGUUGGUUGCAACUGAUGGAAAGCAACUUCAACUCAGCUCCUUUUGAAACCAGAAACCUGUUCCCUCAGUCCAGACAGGAUCUGAGUCUGGGCCAGCAGGAAUCUUUUACUGGCUGCUGCCUUGGUGCUUUCGAGCCCUGCAGAAGGCGUAUGUGUCUGCGCAUCACGUGAGGGCCGGAGUGAUGGGCUGAUGUUUAAGAAGCUGAGCUACAU
rnacentral:lncRNA from 1 species